rnacentral:lncRNA from 1 species
AUAUUAUUUGGUACUUUUUGUUUUGAUUUACUUCCAGAAUGAAAAUUCAUUUCGAUUAACUUUUGCAUCAAGAUUGUUGAAAACUCUGGUUUUUGUUAAGUUUUCAAUGAAUUUAGAUUCAUCCACGAAAUUCCAAUUUUAGUUGAAGGAUGUCAAGCAUAACACCCAACUACAGUGUAUAUCUUGCUGUAAAUUUUUAUCCCAACCAAAAUGGUGCCUGGUGGACAUACCAGUAGUUUAUCCAUUAAAAACUUGAUAAACAAGACAAACGUG